rnacentral:rRNA from 1 species
CAGUAGCCACGGUAAAACGUAGGGUGCGAGCGUUGUCCGGAAUUAUUGGGCGUAAAGAGCUUGUAGGCGGUCUGUCGCGUCUGCUGUGAAAACCCGAGGCUCAACCUCGGGCCUGCAGUGGGUACGGGCAGACUAGAGUGCGGUAGGGGAGAACGGAACUCCUGGUGUAGCGGUGGAAUGCGCAGAUAUCAGGAAGAACACCGAUGGCGAAGGCAGUUCUCUGGGCCGUAACUGACGCUGAGAAGCGAAAGCGUGGGGAGCGAACAGGAUUAGAUACCCCUGUAGUCCCUGUCUCUUAUAC